AUGGCCGCGGGGCGCCACGGAGGGUACAGUGGCUACGAGGUGUCGAAGGAGCGGGAGUUCGAUCUGGAGGCUUCUAGAAGGGGCAAGGAUUACCAUCACCGCAACCCUAGCCGACACCGCGACUCAGAUCGUCGUCGUGAUGGCGGCCGGAGCAGGGACCGGGAGCCGUCAAAUGGGCACACCCGCCACCGGUCGCCACAUCUGCCACUGAAGAGCCGGCCGUCAGGGAGGAGGGAGGAGAGGGAACCCGGCGAGGUUUCAAGCGGAAGUGGCUCGGAAGAGUCUCGUGGGUGUCCGCUCAAGGCAAGGGAACCUGGUGUGAAUGGUGUUGCUGGGGUCAGCAGGGAGGGCGGGGUGCCAUCCCCAACUAAGAAGCGAAAAUACUCGCCUAUUAUUUUGGACAGGAAUGGUUCAAAGCCUCGUGUCCAAGAUUUUGCGAGUAGCAUGAAAGAUGUAGGCACUGUGGUUGCCAACCUCCCAGAUGUUGGCAACCCGAGCAGCAUUGAUUUGGAUGCAUCGGUUGAUGUACAAAAUGUUGAAAGAUUACAGGAGCACUGCAAUGAUAGGGUUAUUAUGGAGGAGGAUGAGGAGGAGGAUGCUUAUCCAACAAUGAUAAACAUUAGGACUUCACGAUGGGCAGAUGCUGAUGACGAGGAAGAAAUUGUGUCGAAGAAGAAGAAAAGCGUGUCACCAGAACAAGGGUCCGUGAAAAAGCUUACAAGCCCAGAGCUUGGAAAGUUGAUGAUGGAUAAAGACUCAAACUCCUCAGUGUCGUCUGACUCUGGCGUAGUACAGUUUAGUGCAAACAGGGAUCUUGAAGUAGAUAAGGGUGACUACAUGGAUAUCGAGAAGGAUGCUGGGGAUGAUUCUUCUGCUCUUUGUGGGAUGCACACUGAUUCUGAGAGUCAUCGGUGUAGCUCUAGAACCCCAGAGCCCGCAGGGUCACCGCAUAGGUGCAUUAACAUGCUUCAGGGUUGUAGGGGUGUUGACGAGUUUGAGAGGCUCAACACAAUUAAUGAGGGUACAUACGGUAUUGUAUCUAGGGCAAAGGAUAAGAAAACUGGUGAGAUUGUUGCAUUGAAGAAGGUAAAGAUGGAGAAUGAACGGGAAGGUUUCCCACUGACUUCUCUCAGGGAAAUAAAUAUCCUGCUAUCGUUCCAUCACCCUUCGAUUGUGGAUGUCAAGGAAAUAGUCGUUGGGAGUGGUGACAGCACCUAUAUGGUGAUGGAGUACAUGGAGCACGAUCUCAAGGCUGUCAUGGAGACUAUGAAACAACCAUAUAGUCAAAGCGAGGUCAAAUGUUUGAUGCUUCAGCUGCUAGAAGGUGUGAAGUAUCUUCAUGACAAUUGGGUGAUUCACAGGGAUCUCAAGACGUCUAAUAUUCUCUUGAAUAACCGCGGUGAGUUGAAAAUAUGUGAUUUUGGGCUCUCUCGUCAAUAUGGCAGUCCACUAAAGCCUUACACUCAAUUGGUUGUGACUUUGUGGUACAGGGCUCCAGAACUACUGUUAGGCGCAAAGGAAUAUUCCACUGCUAUUGAUAUGUGGUCGUUGGGUUGUAUUAUGGCAGAACUCCUUUCAAAAAAGCCACUGUUUGAUGGGAAACGUGACAUCGACCAACUUAGUAAGAUAUUUAGAAUGCUUGGUACACCUAACGAGGACCUAUGGCCUGGUUAUUCUAAAUUACCGGGCGCCAGGGCCAAAUUUGCCAAACAACCGUACAAUAGAUUACGGGAAAAGUUUCCAGCUGUAUCUUUCACUGGUGGGCUGACCCUGUCAGAGGCUGGAUUUGACCUGCUAAACAGAAUGCUGACGUAUGACCCUGAAACGCGCAUAUCAGCAGAGGAUGCGUUGAACCAUGAAUGGUUCUGUGAAGUACCAUUGCCUCAGUCAAGGGAUUCUAUGCCAACAUUUCAUUCCCUUAAUGAACAAGACAGGCGCAUGAUGAAACGCAUGAAGAGCCCUGAUCCUCUGGAGGAGCAACGAAUGAAAGAACUGGGGAGCAUACACGACCGUGGAAUUUUUGGCUGA
rnacentral:rRNA from 1 species